CAGAAUAAUAAAAAUAACAUUAUUCUAAUUUCAACUCCAUACAACUAUUUAACAUUCACAAUUUUAUUCAACAGCACACUUUAUUCCGAUACAUCUCUUGUUUGUGUGUGUAUGUGUGCAACACAGAUUCAAAUUUGCCGCCAAUUCCCGCCCACAACGGCGAAUGUGUCGUAGGUCGUAACAGUCGAAUGAGCAGCAAUGAUUUGGUCACGUGUUUUAGAAGUUUGAAUUUACAAACGGAUGUCAGAUGCGUCUCAACGCAGUCAACGGGUUUGCGCGGUAUUUUCGAUUCACUCUGAGUUUAGGUGAGCCAUCCUCGGAUAUCAUUGAGCUGCAUUGGCAUUUCGGAAUAAGGAAUAUGUUUUCUCCUGCGUUUCGAACGAAGGGUGGGAGCGUCUUCGGGGGAACAUCUCCCGGGUUCCUCCAUGUACGACGUGUGAUGGUGCUUCUCUCGUGGACGUUUCUCUGUGUCUUCAGGACAGAGUGAGAGAAAAGACAUUGCCCCGUCGAUCCACUGAUGAUGUUGGUCUGUUUACAGGUUAUGUGGAAAAGCCUGUGCUUGGUGGAGAUCUACUGCAGAUGACCACAGCAUCCCAGGUCCCAAGAGGGGACUGUUUUAGUCAUUUUCUACUGGGCAAACUGAAUUACUCCAGAUUAUAGAAAAACCUGUGCUUGUGGAUCUACAUCGGAUGACCAUGGCAACCCAGGUGUGGAAAUAGUAGACUGUUUUUAAUCUGAAAUCUGUGUAAUAUAAGAUGGACAAUUCUUCUGACACCAUAUGAAUGCAUACUGUCGUCUUGCAGAAGCUAGAUAAUUUUGAUUAUAAAGUUAUUGAAGUCCAUUGAGUGGAGAAAAGUCCUGAAAUGUUUCCUCAAUGAAAUGUUUUUAUUUUGCCAGUAAAACAUUUUAUUUGACACAAUUAUUUUAUUAAUUAUCAUAAUGUAGCUGUUUUUUCAUGGUUUGCUUGUAUUUCUACUGUCCAGUUAACAUUAAAUACUGGUUACAAUUGACUAAAAUGACUGUUCUGUUUUAAAGGAGGUACCCUAUACAUUUUUUAUAGUUUUUAUUUUACUGCAAGAAAUAACAUUUCUUAGUUACUAUACAUGAGAUUGGCUAUAUUUUAACACAAAAUUAAUGUUGGUAGACAUGGCUGUUUUAUAUAACGACAACUAAAUACCUUAAUUUACAGAUUAUGUAUGUAGCUACUUUUGAGGUAUUUUAACAUACUAUGAUUAUUUUUCUAUUGU